GGGACUUUGAUGCAGCUCACAUUGCCCUCAAGGCUGGUUUCAUCUGUACAGGUGACUGAGGCAGUCGACUUCAGGACUGAGCACCUGUGUUGUGAGGCAGUGACAGAGCAUGACUUCAGACACAGAAGAGAACUGCCUGGAGCUGGGGAGAGAGUAUUUAGUAAAGAAAGAGUUUGUUCCUGCCUCCCUUUCAGCCAUCUUAGCACCUUAAAGAGGAGGGCAGCAUACUUUAAGAGUUCAUGCUGUGUCUUUGCAGUCCACCACUGACGUAGGUGGAUGUGUGAGUAAGACUCAUUUUGUUGUUAAUUUAUCUUCUUGAUGCUCAAUAUCAGACUCCAUUUGCAUUGACUGAAUAGCUGUGGAGUCGUUAUGAAGGCUAUACAAACUGUGUUACUACCCUUGGAAGUACUUACUGAUGAAUUUUUGCCUCUUAAGCCUCCAAACAGGAUAUUACAUUAUUAUAUACAUUCUCUUCCCUGAUAUACUGUCUGAGUAUUGGCCAAACCAUCCGUGUACCACUGUGAGUCAUGCAGAGCACUAAUCUCAGUGGAGACAAAGUAAGUAUACAUAAGACUGUAAAUGAUUUUCAUUGCUAUGCCCCCUUUUUUUUUUAACAUGGAGCUCUCACUCUUGAUGAAAUACUAUUAAGUGCAAUGUAGCAACCUGAUUGCUAGAUGCUAUUAAAUCAUCAGAUCAUGGCUGGUGUCCUUACUCGCCUGUCUUUUCUGCGUGGGGUUAGAGGUUUGCCUAUUGGAGACUUGUGGACAUUGGAAUUCUUUUAAAUAAGAUUGGUUUCCAACGGACACAUGUGGCUCUCGGGAACAUGGAUGUCAGGCCAUCUGUGUGAUAGGCAGAACUACAGAAUGAGCAUCAUAGAUGUUCAUCCUUGAAGUUGAAUUUUCAGAGCUGGAGGAAUAGUUUGAAACUGAAGUGUGGUCUUCCAGCCUGGUUAGGAGAAUUACAGAGUCUAAACCAUGCCUUACAUGUGUCGUUUGCUUUGGAAAAUAAAAACCUGCUUUUGAAAGUAUAAGAAUAUUCAGAAAUGAGGAGUGUGUUAGAUGCCAGUCUGUGAGGGCUUCCUCUUAGUUACCAUGUUUAUUAGCCUGAGCCUGGUGCAAGGCACAGCAGCCAUUUGGAUAAGACACACACAAGCCAGCUGUUAGCACGGGGUGUGUUGGGGUAGUGAGCAGCAGAUUUCCCUCUUACUUAGGUCAUGUUCUUGUCUUUUGCUUGUCCAUGUUUGUAUUGGAGUAGUGCUCAGAGGCCCCGGAACUGAAGAAAAUAACUGCACUGCAGACAUUUAUGAAGAAGUUGUUACGACUGCUAAUGCUUCUUCCUGCUCCACUCUUACAAACUCUGCCAUAGUGCAGCAAAGAACUGAAUGGUUUCCAAAAAAAGUGUGUGAGGAAAUGCAACUUUUUAACCUCACAAGGAAGUGGCUGGGAGGAAUGGAGAGAGGAAAAGAGAGGAGGCUGGGAUUUCUAAGAAUACAUCAGUACUUUAAGGAGUUGUUGAAUACAGAAUCUCACAUAUAUCUUGCUCAUCCUGCUGCCACUGCCGUUUCUGAAGUGGCUGAUGCUGCAGAUUACUCAGUAUGUGCUUGCUGCAUCCAUCUCCUCAGAUGAAGGAGUAUUUGGACAGGCUUGUGUGGAGCUACUCAGUUUUUCCCAGGAUGAAGAAAUCUUUUUAAUACGCCAGAGCAUGGAAUAGAUAUAUAGGAUUCUGGAUAGGCCACCUGUGAAGUCAGACACAUUCAGAGGAAGACAGUACAUAGGUUUUCCCGUGCACAGUCUGGUCAUCCUAAAUCCACUGAAGCCCUCACUUAGGCAUAUAUUCCGCUUCUGUCCUUGCUCUUAGACAUGCCCAACUGAUGGUCCUGUACGGCCUCUGGAUCUGUCUGUGUGUGGAGACUGAUCUAGCAAACCUCAGGAUGUACUGGCUUCUGCCAAGGAGAUAAUCCAGUUUCCAACUUCGAACUUGCCCAGAUUGACACACUGUGAUGUGUAGCCAGGAAAGAAGAUACAGACUUCCACCGCAAGUGUGUUAAUUUUCAGCACAUAGAAACUUUUCAUAAAAACUUGGAAACUGCUUUGAAUCUGAGAUGGCAACCUGAAACCAGAAUGUUUCAUAUUAUAAUCAAACCAUAAACCUCCUAAACUUCCACACUGAUUCUACAGUAUAACACUAAGCUUUCAUUUCAAAUCCUCCUGGAAGACCAGUAUAACUUCCUGCGUUGUUUUAGAGAAAAUAUAUUGCAUGAUCUGACUAGUUUUUGCCACUCCUAUAAAGGAGUAACGCAAUCUGUAAGGCUUUCCUUUAUUACCAUUUUCUUUUUCAGCUGAAGUGUUUUAAGAGGACGAAACUGGGACAGCCAAGGCCUGUAAACCAUUUACUGUCCAAUUUUAAAGGCUCAAGAAGAAUUUAAAUGAUGCGUAGGUUUUGUGCUGGCUGUGUCCACUUGUGACAAUUUUAUCCCUGUGAAUUCUCGUUCAAACCCCUCUGUUGCCAUGGCUUUGUGAAGGCUAUCUUUGCAGUGCCACCUUUAG